GACAGAGGUGGCAAGCGUUGUUCGGAUUCAUUGGGUGUAAAGGGCAGGUAGGUGGUCGGGUAAGUCUGACGUGAAAUCCCAUGGCUCAACCGUGGAACUGCGUUGGAAACUGCCUGACUUGAGUAUCGGAGAGGUGAGGGGAAUUCUCGGUGUAAGGGUGAAAUCUGUAGAUAUCGAGAGGAACACCAGUGGCGAAGGCGCUUCACUGGCCGAUUACUGACGCUGAGCUGCGAAAGCAAGGGGAGCAAACAGG
rnacentral:rRNA from 1 species